rnacentral:rRNA from 1 species
GGCCAGACUCCUACGGGAGGCAGCAGUGGGGAAUAUUGGGCAAUGGGCGCAAGCCUGACCCAGCAACGCCGCGUGAAGGAAGAAGGCUUUCGGGUUGUAAACUUCUUUUGACAGGGAAGAGUAGAAGACGGUACCUGUCGAAUAAGCCCCGGCUAACUACGUGCCAGCAGCCGCGGUAAUACGUAGGGGGCAAGCGUUAUCCGGAUUUACUGGGUGUAAAGGGAGCGUAGACGGUUAUGCAAGUCUGAAGUGAAAGCCCAAGGCUCAACCAUGGGACUGCUUUUGAAACUGUCAAACUAGAGUACGGGAGAGGUAAGAGGAAUUCCUAGUGUAGCGGUGAAAUGCGUAGAUAUUAGGAGGAACACCAGUGGCGAAGGCGGCCUGCUGGACGAUGACUGACGUUGAGGCUCGAAAGCGUGGGGAGCAAACAGGAUUAGAUACCCGAGUAAAC